rnacentral:rRNA from 1 species
GACGAACGCUGGCGGCGUGCUUAACACAUGCAAGUCGAACGGUAAUGCCCUUUCAGGGUUCCCCGAGUGGCGGACUGGUGCGUACCACGUUGGUGAUCUUCCCUGCACUUUGUGAUAAGCCUGGUAACCUUGGUCUACUACCGCCUAUACCUCCGCCAUGCUUGUCGUGUGGUGUACAGCUUUUGCGGGCUUGGCUGGUCGCACGGCCUAUCAUCUUGUUGGUGGGGUGAUGGCAUACCAAGGCGCCGACGGGUAGCCCGCCUGGGAGUCUGUCCGGCCACACUAGGACUGAGAUAGGGAGCAGACGGAUACGGGAGGCAGCAGUGGGGAAUAUUACACAAUGGGCGCAAGCCUGAUGCAGAGACGUUGCGUGGGGGAUGACGGCCUGCGGGGUGUAAACAGCUUUCAGCACAGACGAAGCGUAAGUGACGGUAUGUGCAGAAGAAGCACCGGCCAACUACGUG